rnacentral:lncRNA from 1 species
ACGCACUUAACAGCCACCAAACCUGCGAAAAAGAGGCGUACAAACACGACAAAAGGCAGAAGAAUAACAAAAAAUCGGAGAAGAUGCCAAACAGAAUAGAUCUUUAGUGAUUUUGAAUUUUUUUUCUUCCUUUUCUAUUUCGGCUAUUUAAAGCCGUGAAAGAUCAGUGAAUCGGGGGGAUUUUUCGGUGUAAAGGAAUACACAUAGAAACACUGAAAAAUAUAGAGAAAAAGAAAGAAAGAUACAAAAUUUUUUGAAUAUAAAGGUUUUUUUCUUCUGGUGUUCAUUAUUUUUUCAUGUUUAUUGUUGAUUUAUAAAGAGAAGAGAG